rnacentral:misc_RNA from 1 species
CAGAACGGCAGAAUAUAAAUCUGGGGACACAUUCCAUGAACAUAACUCAGUCAGCUAAAAUUUAAUAAUAUUCAAAACUAAAAUGACGUAGAGGGAACUAGUAUCAAAAGAUUUAUGAUUUUUGAACAUUGAUACAGUAUUAGUAUCAAACAGAGAUGAAUGGCGAAAAAGAAUCCAUAUAAUCAACCCUAACUAAAAUGAAAAGAAGGGAAUCAGUAUCAAAGGAUUUACGAUUUUUUUAUAUUGAUAUAAAAUUGGUCUCAAAUAGAGAUGAAUGGCAAAAAAAAUCCAUAUAAUUAACCCUAACUAGUUUGAAAUUAAGGCUUAGUUG